AUGCCUUGAUGAAGACACUUUCGUAAUAACUCCUUGAACUGCUCCUAUGCCUCAUAUAAAGAUUCUUCGUCAAAUUGUUGAAAUGAAGUGAUUUCAUUUCAAAGCUU
rnacentral:snoRNA from 1 species